rnacentral:misc_RNA from 1 species
GCAAACUUGGUCAUUUAGAGGAAGUAAAAGUCGUAACAAGGUUUCCGUAGGUGAACCUGCGGAAGGAUCAUUACAAGAGUAUUUAGGGCUUGUCCCUGAAAUCUCCCACCCUUUGUUUAAAUUGACCGUUUUUCUUGUUGCCUCGGCGGGUGUCUUUACUGCGCUUUUCCUUUUAAAGUCACGCUAAACACCCGCCGGUAGGUACCUAAAAAACCUUAAUUAAACGUUACUGUCUGAGCAUUUUAUGCAAAGCAAAUAAAAUUAAAACUUUCAACAACGGAUCUCUUGGUUCUGGCAUCGAUGAAGAACGCAGC